CCCCGCUUCCCACUCACCCUCUUCUUCCCCUUAUCCUGCUUGCCACGUCUUUGCCCUCUACGCUAUUUUUCCCAUCUUCUUUUUCCCAUCCCUCUUUCUGCACUCCCUCUGGCCACCCCCUCUUUUCUCUUCCCACUUGCCACCCUCUUCCCCCUCCAUCUAUCCACUUUAUCCACUGUCUUUUCUUUCUGCAGUCUUUCUUUCCUGCCCAUCGUCUAUUUGCAAAACCUUUUCUCCUCUGCACUCGCCACCCUCUUUUCUCUCUUCAUCUACCUAAAAAAUUUUCUCCCCUUCUUUUCGCAAAACCUUCUCUCCCUCCUGCUUGCCCACUUUCUCUUCCCCCUCCCUCUUUGCAUCAUCUUUUCUUCUCCCACUUGUCCCCCUCUUCCCUUCUGCAUCUGCCCAAAAUCUUUUUACCCACCGUCUUCUUUCCUCCCGUAUUUUUUCAGACCUUCUCUCCCUCCUGCUCACCCCCUGGUUCUCCCCUCACCAUCCUCUCAUUCCUCCUGUCACUUGCCACUCUAUUUUCCCCUUCCAUCUACCCAAAAACGUUUCCCCACCAUCUUUUCACAAAAGCUUCUCUCCCUCUUCCUCGCCCCCUGCUUCCCCGCUCACCAUCCUCUCAUUCCUCCUCUCACUUGCCACUCCAUUUUCCCCUUCCAUCUACCCCAAAAUAGUUUUCCCACCAUCUUUUCCUCACCGUCUUUUUUCAACACCUUAUCCUGUUCGCCAUCCUCUUUGUCCCUUUGGCAAUAACCACCCUCUUUAGCCCUCCCACCUCGCCCCAAACUCGUUUCCCCUCCUACCGCUCCAGGGGCAUGCGUCCGUGGCUACCACCAACCACAGUGAGGUGAGCUGCAGCAAGGCGAACCGCAAUACUGCAGACUCCAGCGUCCAGCAGGCAGCAGCUGGCUCUCCCGUCUUCUUCUCCUCUAAGCCCAGCACGGAGGAGCACAGCCGAUAGACACAGAAAAGCCUGGAAUGGAGUGCCUGCCCAACAGAGCCAUUUAUAUACUGAGGUUAGGCACAGAGGUUCCUGAACUACACAGUCUCAUUGGAUGAAAACAAGUCUGAGGCCAGCCA
rnacentral:lncRNA from 13 species